rnacentral:lncRNA from 1 species
AGUAAUUGCCAAGAGUUGAGUAAGUUGCUGGAGAACGUGACCCAGGGCUUGCCACCCACCCAUUCAUUCAGCAGGGACAAUGAGGAGUGGAGUGUGCAGAGGCAUAUCAGUCACAGUCCACGAAUCCACAGCGAAGCCGCAGAGCCUGGUUUGCUACCCUGUUCUCAACCUUUGCGCUUCUCUCUGCUACUCUAAGCUCCACCCCUUUUCCCGUGAAGGUCCAAUGGCACGAAGGUCCCAUGGCCCACCUAUGCAAGACAUGUUGUCCUCUCAGCAUGGACGACUCCUUGGAUAGCUUUCCCUCUGUGCCCAGACAAGGAUGAAUUUUGUUCUCAUUGUUUUCUGGAAGCUUCUAUGCCUGGAGCUGGCUGGCUACCACUGCGAUAUGAUCCCAUAGGGUCC